GGGCCCGUAGCUCAGCCAGGAUAGGGCACCGGCCUCCGGAGCCGGAGAUCUGGGGUUCAAAUCCCCACGGGCCCGCCA
rnacentral:tRNA from 1 species